GUUCUGCCUCUGACUGCUGCGCGGCUAUGCUAUUACUGUGACACAGGGGAGAGGGACCAAUCAGAUCACAGCUCUCAUUUUAGGAUGUCCUACGGAUAAUGAAAGCCGCCACCUGCAGCCAGGAAAACAGAGGAACCGAGGGAGCAGCAGAAGACUGUCCAUUUAGCGCCAUUGAAAAGAAAAUCCUGCAUAUCACUAACUAGUCCAUACUAAAAUACCGCAAGCCAGCGAUUGGAGUCUUCAGAAUUCGGGCGCCCCAUCUCCGGCCGGUCUCUGCUGACAGUCUGCUUCACCAAAGGAAGUUGCUGACGGGCAACGGAACGCGUGGGGUCUCUAGGGGGGCACCUGCCUGGCUACUCCUCCAUCUAUUGUCCUCUACUGCUAAUCCCCUGUGUUAUUUAUGAAGGAUAUUCAGGGCCGGCACCACAUAUAGGCAAGGUGGGCACCCCCUGGCCCACAGAGGAUAUUUCUGUCAAGCCACACACCUUUAUUGCGCUGCC